CGAACGGGUGAGUAACACGUGAAGAACCUGCCCUUCAGUGGGGGACAACAGUUGGAAACGACUGCUAAUACCGCAUAAGCCCACGGAUCCGCAUGGAUCUGCGGGAAAAGGAUUUAUUCGCUUCAGGAUGGACUCGCGUCCAAUUAGCUAGUUGGUGAGGUAACGGCCCACCAAGGCGACGAUUGGUAGCCGGACUGAGAGGUUGAACGGCCACAUUGGGACUGAGACACGGCCCAGACUCCUACGGGAGGCAGCAUG
rnacentral:rRNA from 1 species